UACGUAGGGUGCAAGCGUUGUCCGGAAUUAUUGGGCGUAAAGAGCUCGUAGGCGGUCUGUCGCGUCUGCUGUGAAAUCCCGGGGCUUAACCCCGGGCGUGCAGUGGAUACGGGCUGGCUGGAGGCAGGCAGGGGAGAAUGGAAUUCCCGGUGUAGCGGUGAAAUGCGCAGAUAUCGGGAGGAACACCGGUGGCGAAGGCGGUUCUCUGGGCCUGUGCUGACGCUGAGGAGCGAAAGCGUGGGGAGCGAACAGG
rnacentral:rRNA from 1 species